ensembl:snRNA
ACCAUCCUUUUCUUGGGGUUGCGUUACUGUCCAAUGAACGUCUAGUGAGGACAGUACUGCUAACGCCUGAACAACACACCCGCAUCAACUAGAUUUAACCAGUGGAUAC